CCUACGGGAGGCUGCAGUGAGGAAUAUUGGUCAAUGGGAGGAAUCCUGAACCAGCCAUGCCGCGUGCAGGACGACGGCUCUACGAGUUGUAAACUGCUUUUGUACCGGGGUAAAAUGCUCUACGAGUAGGGUUUUGAAAGUACGGUACGAAUAAGGAUCGGCUAAAUCCGUGCCAGCAGCCGCGGUAAUACGGAGGAUCCGAGCGUUAUCCGGAUUCCUUGGGGUUAACGGGUGCGUAGGUUGUUUUAUAAGUUAGCGGUGAAAUACCGAUGCUCAACCUCGGGGCUGCCGCUGAUACUGUAGGACUAGAGAGCGGAUGCAGCAGGCGGAAUGUGUAGUGUAGCGGUGAAAUGCAUAGAUAUUACACAGAACACCGAUUGCGAAGGCAGCUUGCUAGGCCGGAUCUGACACUGAUGCACGAAAGCGUGGGGAGCGAACAGGAUUAGAUACCCCGGUAGUC
rnacentral:rRNA from 1 species